CACGUUUCGAACAAAGACUUAAAUACCUUGAAACCAGGAAUGCAGAUUAGCAAAGGUUGUGAUAACUAACUUAUCUGUAAAUAGUAUACUUGUCUUCUUUCUUUCCUCUUAAUUCUUCUUAAUAUAGUAUUAGUCUAUUAUAAAUCAUUCCACAAAUAGUAAUCUGUAAUAGUCCUAGUUUAUCAUAGUUUCUUCUAUAUAUUGUUUGUAAUGCUUUAGCAAUACUGUAAAUUUAUG